ensembl:lncRNA
CAUAACUUGGGAUGUUUUAAAAACCCCGGUGCGCAAGUCCAAGUUUCUCCAGACUGGCACUACAGCAAAAGUUCCCCAAUGCCCCGCAGCUGACUUCACAGGUCGGAGAUGACCCGGUUGGAAUCCCUUCCGGCCUUGUAUCUGCUAAGUACAACUCUCAGUAGCCUAACAGGUAACCGCACAUUGUCAAUGGAGGUGUCCUCUCUGAUCGGGAUCCUGGGAGGUUCUGUUCUGAUAUGUCCAAACUCAGAAAUAGGAAAUGACACCUUGAGGAUUAGCUGGUAUCAUCAUUCACCUGAGGAGAAUCUGCACCUACUCACCAGCAGGCCAGGGGAGAGCAGUCCAAGCUGGAUCAUUCCCCAGAAAGAAUAUGUGGGGAGGUUGUUUAUUCCUGAUGGAAAGUCUCUGGAGAUCCUGAAUCUGACCCUGGAAGACUGUGGGCUUUAUGUGGCUGAAAUCAUAUCUGUCUCAGGAGAGAUCCAGACUAAAAAGUUCAAUUUAACCAUCUCUGGCCCUGAUACUGCAGAGUCUAACAAGGAUCCAUGGAUUUGGAGGGGUCCCCUGCUUGUUGUUAUAGUCCUGAUAAUGUUGGGGUUGAUCACAGUUUUUUACUAUAAAAAAAGAGGCUGCUAUUACAAAAAUCAAGAUAUUUGA